rnacentral:lncRNA from 1 species
GCAUGGAUAACCUGUUGGCCAGUUUGCAUGGGAAAAAGCAUUUGGUCUAGCAUCCAGGUUCUUGUAAAAGAAUGUUCCCAGAUUUAAGGAACUACUGCAACCGUCAGGCUGCUGCUCCUUCUUCUUGCAUGGGAAAAGGCAGAAUGACCAGAUUGGCUGAGCAGCCUCUUACUGUCACAUUGAUUGUCCUCAGCAGAGGUCAGGAUAACGUAAGAACAGUGGUCACUCCUCAGGAUUUGCCCCAUGGACCCCAUGUUAAAAGUUAUUCUGUACUCAGUGAGAUCUCUU